rnacentral:rRNA from 1 species
UACGUAGGGUGCAGGCGUUAAUCGGAAUUACUGGGCGUAAAGCGUGCGCAGGCGGCUAUGCAAGACAGAUGUGAAAUCCCCGGGCUCAACCUGGGAACUGCAUUUGGGACUGCAAGGCUUGAGUACGGCAGAGGGGGGUAGAAUUCCUGGUGUAGCAGUGAAAUGCGUAGAUAUCAGGAGGAAUACCGAUGGCGAAGGCAGCCCCCUGGGUCGAUACUGACGCUCAUGCACGAAAGCGUGGGGAGCAAACAGG